ACACGUGGUAUCCUGUCUGAAUAUGGGGGGACCAUCCUCCAAGGCUAAAUACUCCUGACUGACCGAUAGUGAACCAGUACCGUGAGGGAAAGGCGAAAAGAACCCCGGCGAGGGGAGUGAAAAAGAACCUGAAACCGUGUACGUACAAGCAGUGGGAGCACCUUCGGGUGUGACUGCGUACCUUUUGUAUAAUGGGUCAGCGACUUAUAUUCUGUAGCAAGGUUAACCGUAUAGGGGAGCCGCAGGGAAACCGAGUCUUAACUGGGCGUUAAGUUGCAGGGUAUAGACCCGAAACCCGGUGAUCUAGCCAUGGGCAGGUUGAAGGUUGGGUAACACUAACUGGAGGACCGAACCGACUAAUGUUGAAAAAUUAGCGGAUGACUUGUGGCUGGGGGUGAAAGGCCAAUCAAACCGGGAGAUAGCUGGUUCUCCCCGAAAGCUAUUUAGGUAGCGCCUCGUGAAUUCAUCUUCGGGGGUAGAGCACUGUUUCGGCUAGGGGGUCAUCCCGACUUACCAACCCGAUGCAAACUACGAAUACCGAAGAAUGUUAUCACGGGAGACACACGGCGGGUGCUAACGUCCGUCGUGAAGAGGGAAACAACCCAGACCGCCAGCUAAGGUCCCAAAGUCAUGGUUAAGUGGGAAACGAUGUGGGAAGGCACAGACAGCCAGGAUGUUGGCUUAGAAGCAGCCAUCAUUUAAAGAAAGCGUAAUAGCUCACUGGUCGAGUCGGCCUGCGCGGAAGAUGUAACGGGGCUAAACCAUGCACCGAAGCUGCGGCAGCGACACUAUGUGUUGUUGGGUAGGGGAGCGUUCUGUAAGCCUGCGAAGGUGACCUGUGAGGGUUGCUGGAGGUAUCAGAAGUGCGAAUGCUGACAUAAGUAACGAUAAAGCGGGUGAAAAGCCCGCUCGCCGGAAGACCAAGGGUUCCUGUCCAACGUUAAUCGGGGCAGGGUGAGUCGACCCCUAAGGCGAGGCCGAAAGGCGUAGUCGAUGGGAAACAGGUUAAUAUUCCUGUACUUGGUGUUACUGCGAAGGGGGGACGGAGAAGGCUAUGUUAGCCGGGCGACGGUUGUCCCGGUUUAAGCAUGUAGGCUGGUUGUCCAGGCAAAUCCGGAUAAUCAAGGCUGAGGUGUGAUGACGAGGCACUACGGUGCUGAAGUAACAAAUGCCCUGCUUCCAGGAAAAGCCUCUAAGCAUCAGGUAACAUUAAAUCGUACCCCAAACCGACACAGGUGGUCAGGUAGAGAAUACCAAGGCGCUUGAGAGAACUCGGGUGAAGGAACUAGGCAAAAUGGUGCCGUAACUUCGGGAGAAGGCACGCUGGUGUGUAGGUGAAGUCCCUGCGGAUGGAGCUGAGACCAGUCGAAGAUACCAGCUGGCUGCAACUGUUUAUUAAAAACACAGCACUGUGCAAACACGAAAGUGGACGUAUACGGUGUGACGCCUGCCCGGUGCCGGAAGGUUAAUUGAUGGGGUUAUCCGUAAGGAGAAGCUCUUGAUCGAAGCCCCGGUAAACGGCGGCCGUAACUAUAACGGUCCUAAGGUAGCGAAAUUCCUUGUCGGGUAAGUUCCGACCUGCACGAAUGGCGUAAUGAUGGCCAGGCUGUCUCCACCCGAGACUCAGUGAAAUUGAACUCGCUGUGAAGAUGCAGUGUACCCGCGGCAAGACGGAAAGACCCCGUGAACCUUUACUAUAGCUUGACACUGAACAUUGAGCCUUGAUGUGUAGGAUAGGUGGGAGGCUUUGAAGCGUGGACGCCAGUCUGCGUGGAGCCAACCUUGAAAUACCACCCUUUAAUGUUUGAUGUUCUAACGUUGGCCCCUGACCGGGGUUGCGGACAGUGUCUGGUGGGUAGUUUGACUGGGGCGGUCUCCUCCCAAAGCGUAACGGAGGAGCACGAAGGUUAGCUAAUCCUGGUCGGACAUCAGGAGGUUAGUGCAAUGGCAUAAGCUAGCUUGACUGCGAGCGUGACGGCGCGAGCAGGUGCGAAAGCAGGUCAUAGUGAUCCGGUGGUUCUGAAUGGAAGGGCCAUCGCUCAACGGAUAAAAGGUACUCCGGGGAUAACAGGCUGAUACCGCCCAAGAGUUCAUAUCGACGGCGGUGUUUGGCACCUCGAUGUCGGCUCAUCACAUCCUGGGGCUGAAGUAGGUCCCAAGGGUAUGGCUGUUCGCCAUUUAAAGUGGUACGCGAGCUGGGUUUAGAACGUCGUGAGACAGUUCGGUCCCUAUCUGCCGUGGGCGCUGGAGAAUUGAGGGGGGCUGCUCCUAGUACGAGAGGACCGGAGUGGACGCAUCACUGGUGUUCGGGUUGUCAUGCCAAUGGCACUGCCCGGUAGCUAAAUGCGGAAGAGAUAAGUGCUGAAAGCAUCUAAGCACGAAACUUGCCCCGAGAUGAGUUCUCCCUGAGACUUUAA
rnacentral:rRNA from 1 species